GCCCGCGGACGCCGCAGAGUAAGCAUCGUUAAAGUCUCCCCUCCCACCGCCGUCAUGUCUAAGUCAGAGUCUCCCAAAGAGCCUGAACAGCUGCGGAAGCUCUUCAUCGGAGGUUUGAGCUUUGAAACAACCGAUGAGAGUCUGAGGAGCCAUUUUGAGCAAUGGGGAACGCUUACGGACUGUGUGGUAAUGAGAGAUCCAAACACCAAGCGCUCCAGAGGCUUUGGGUUUGUCACGUAUGCCACUGUGGAGGAGGUGGAUGCAGCCAUGAACGCAAGGCCACACAAGGUGGAUGGAAGAGUUGUGGAACCAAAGAGGGCUGUCUCAGGAGAAGAUUCUCAAAGACCUGGUGCCCACUUAACUGUGAAAAAGAUUUUUGUUGGUGGCGUUAAAGAAGACACUGAAGAACAUCACCUAAGAGAUUAUUUUGAACAGUAUGGGAAAAUUGAAGUGAUCGAGAUCAUGACUGACCGAGGCAGUGGCAAAAAGAGAGGUUUUGCUUUUGUAACAUUUGAUGACCAUGACUCUGUAGACAAGAUUGUCAUUCAAAAAUACCGUACUGUGAAUGGCCACAACUGUGAAGUAAGGAAAGCCCUAUCUAAGCAAGAGAUGGCUAGUGCUUCAUCCAGCCAAAGAGGUCGAAGUGGUUCUGGAAACUUUGGUGGUGGUCGUGGAGGUGGUUUUGGUGGGAAUGACAACUUUGGUUGUGGAGGGAACUUCAGUGGUCGAGGUGGCUUUGGUGGCAGGGGAGGUGGUGGUGGAUAUGGUGGCAGUGGGGAUGGCUAUAACGGAUUUGGUAAUGAUGGAAGCAACUUUGGAGGUGGCGGAAGCUAUAAUGAUUUUGGCGAUUACAACAAUCAAUCCUCAAAUUUUGGACCCAUGAAAGGAGGAAAUUUUGGAGGCAGAAGCUCUGGCCCCUAUGGUGGUGGAGGCCAAUACUUUGCCAAACCACGAAACCAAGGUGGCUAUGGCGGUUCCAGCGCAGCAGUAGCUAUGGCGGUGGCAGAAGGUUUUAAUUACUGCCAGGAAACAAAGCUUAGCAGGAGAGGAGAGCCAGAGAAGUGACAGGGAAGCUACAGGUUACAACAGAUUUGUGAACUCAGCCAAGCACAGUGGUGGCAGGGCCUAGCUGCUACAAAGAAGACAUGUUUUAGACAAUACUCAUGUAACUCGAGGACUGUAUUUGUGACUAAUUGUAUAACAGGUUAUUUUAGUUUCUGUUCUGUGGAAAGUGUAAAGCAUUCCAACAAAACGUUUUAAUGUAGAUUUUUUUUGUUUGCACCCAUGCUGUUGAUUGCUAAAUGUAAUAGUCUGAUCAUGACGCUGAAUAAAUGUGUCUUUAAAAAA